UACGGAGGGGGCUAGCGUUGUCCGGCUUUAUUGGGCGUAAAGAGCGUGUAGGCGGCCAGGUCGGUGGGUUGUGAAAACUGGAGGCUCAACCUUCAGCCGUCGACCCAAACCCCCUGGCUAGAGUCCGGAAGAGGAGAGUGGAAUUCCUGGUGUAGCGGUGAAAUGCGCAGAUAUCAGGAAGAACACCCGUGGCGAAGGCGGCUCUCUGGGACGGUACUGACGCUGAGACGCGAAAGCGUGGGGAGCGAACAGG
rnacentral:rRNA from 1 species